UUCCGAUGGCAGAUGAUCGCUGGUGAGUCCCGCGUUGGCGGGAUUCGCUGGAGGAAAGUCCGAACACCAUACGGCAGCAUGCCGCGUAAAAUACGCGGGCGACGUUCGCGAAAGCGGACGUUGACGGAAAGUGUCACAGAAAAAACACCGCCGGUUCUUUGAGAAAAGCGCAGGUAAGGGUGAAAAGGCGAGGUAAGAGCUCACCGCUCGCGGAGCAAUUCGCGAGGCACGAAAAACCCCAUGCGGUGCAAGACAAAACAGAGGAACGGCAGCCGCUCCGUUUGAUCCUCGGGUAUCGUCGCACCACGGCGAACGAAAGUUUGCCGCGCAUUCGGAGAAAUUCGGAUGAGAUGAAUGAUCAUCGCCCAGCAUUUUGCUAGCAAAGUGCUGGGGACAGAAUUCGGCUUAUCGCCGAGUGUAAAUG
rnacentral:RNase_P_RNA from 1 species